UACGACACAUCAACCCACCGAGCUACUCCUAAACCCCCACUAAACCCCAUCACACCCGAUACGUCUCCAACUAAGAGUAGCGGAUUUGCUGAACAUGCCUCAUCUGUCAAUGCAUUCGUUGCUACCGCUACAUCAAAACGAACCUCCCUCCCAACCUUAAACGUGUAAAAGAGUCAGGAAAACCUAUCUGACGAGGAAGUUGUUGAACUUAGCGACUCCAGCCCUGUAAAGCCAACCCCAAGACAUCCGCCAUCAGAUGAAGAAUGCAAGCUUGCAGAAGAACUCUUCAAAUGCCCUUCAAUUCCAGCACUAGCCCUCAUCGCUCCGCUUCCGCAGCAACAGUGGGACCUCUUCCACGCGACUCUCACAACAAAUACGCAAGCAUUCCACAUUACUCCGUCCCAAUUUGACUUCUCCAACAGAUUCAUACUGGAAAUAGCUCAGCCGCAGAAAUGGGUCACCACAUUUCAUAUGGAAAUUUUGAUGUACAUGCUUGCUGGAAGGCACAGAGAGCUGCUUGAUCGAGAGAAGCUUGCUUUCACA